rnacentral:tRNA from 1 species
GGGUCCGUGGGGUAGCUUGGCCUAUCCUUGGUGGUUCGGGACCACUAGACUCCGGUUCAAAUCCGGACGGACCCA